GGUCAGUCAGGGAGGGCUUCAUGAAGGAGAAGACGGUGAUUGAGUGUGGGAGGAGAUGGCUUCAGGCAGUGGUGUGUGUGAGGAGGACGAAGACCUUGUCUGGAGACUCUCAAAGCUUCUUAAAGACAGAUACCUCAGGGAAGAAAAAGAAAGAAAGAAAAAAAAACCGGAAAACAAGAAAGAGGGAAUCGGGCGGGGAAAAUGAUUUUCUCGGCUGGCGUUUCCAGGGGAAUUAAAUCCUCUUGCUCGUCACCAGCGAGUGGAAUAAUCCAA